rnacentral:rRNA from 1 species
UACGUAGGGGGCAAGCGUUGUCCGGAAUCAUUGGGCGUAAAGCGCGUGUAGGCGGUUCGGUAAGUCGGCUGUGAAAGUCCAGGGCUCAACCCUGGGAUGCCGGUCGAUACUGCCGUGCUUGAGGACUGGAGAGGAGACUGGAAUUUACGGUGUAGCGGUGAAAUGCGUAGAUAUCGUAAGGAAGACCAGUGGCGAAGGCGGGUCUCUGGACAGUUCCUGACGCUGAGGCACGAAGGCCAGGGGAGCAAACGGG